rnacentral:rRNA from 1 species
UAGGGAAUCUUCGGCAAUGGGGGGAACACUGACCGAGCAACGCCGCGUGAGUGAAGAAGGUUUUCGGAUCGUAAAGCUCUGUUGUUAAGGAAGAACGAGUGUGAGAAUGGAAAGUUCAUACUGUGACGGUACUUAACCAGAAAGGGACGGCUAACUACGUGCCAGCAGCCGCGGUAAUACGUAGGUCCCGAGCGUUGUCCGGAUUUAUUGGGCGUAAAGCGAGCGCAGGCGGUUAGAUAAGUCUGAAGUUAAAGGCAGUGGCUCAACCAUUGUAGGCUUUGGAAACUGUUUAACUUGAGUGCAGAAGGGGAGAGUGGAAUUCCAUGUGUAGCGGUGAAAUGCGUAGAUAUAUGGAGGAACACCGGUGGCGAAAGCGGCUCUCUGGUCUGUAACUGACGCUGAGGCUCGAAAGCGUGGGGAGCGAACAGG